CCUACGGGAGGCAGCAGUGGGGAAUAUUGGACAAUGGGCGCAAGCCUGAUCCAGCCAUGCCGCGUGAGUGAUGAAGGCCCUAGGGUUGUAAAGCUCUUUUGUGCGGGAAGAUAAUGACGGUACCGCAAGAAUAAGCCCCGGCUAACUUCGUGCCAGCAGCCGCGGUAAU
rnacentral:rRNA from 5 species